UUGCCAUUGCUGAUGUUGUGGGACAGAGCCAGUGUAUGUGUACAGAAGUUACGAACAACACAGAAUGUUGACUGACUUUGAAGGUGCUACAAGAAAAAACGAAGUAGGGUUCUGCAUUUGGACUAGCAAAGAGUUCCACCAGUACCAGGUUGUUGGGAGGAAGCUCCCUACAGCAUCUGAUGAGCACCCCGGAAUUUUCUGAAUGAAGCUCUGGGCCACCAAUGAGGUUUGCGCCAGGUCCAAGUUCUGGUAUUUCCUGAGGAAGCUGAAGAAGGUCAAGAAGAGCAAUGGCCAAGUGCUUGCCAUUAAUGAGUGGUUCCUCCUCAACUCUCCUCCUGGCG